rnacentral:rRNA from 1 species
GACGAACGCUGGCGGCGUGCUUAACACAUGCAAGUCGAACGGAAAGGCCCUGCUUGCAGGGUACUCGAGUGGCGAACGGGUGAGUAACACGUGGGUGAUCUGCCCUGCACUUCGGGCUAAGCCUGGGAAACUGGGUCUAAUACCGGAUAGGAGCCAUUUUUAGUGUGAUGGUUGGAAAGUUUUUUCGGUGUAGGAUGAGCUCGCGGCCUAUCAGCUUGUUGGUGGGGUAAUGGCCUACCAAGGCGGCGACGGGUAGCCGGCCUGAGAGGGUGGACGGCCACAUUGGGACUGAGAUACGGCCCAGACUCCUACGGGAGGCAGCAGUGGGGAAGAUUGCACAAUGGGCGCAAGCCUGAUGCAGCGACGCCGCGUGGGGGAUGACGGCCUUCGGGUUGUAAACUCCUUUCGCUAGGGACGAAGCUUUUUGUGACGGUACCUAGAUAAGAAGCACCGGCUAACUACGUG